rnacentral:rRNA from 1 species
GUGGGGUGCAACCGCCUUAUUGUUAACUCUGAUAAUACGGAAGUGAUUGACACAAUGAAGAAUGGAGGACAAUUAGCGGGAGCGACGAUGACAAUGUUCGAUGAUUGCUAUUUUAUGGCUUGCGAAUUUACUACUACUAGGUUUGAACAUUGUAAUAGGGAAGCAAAAAAAGUUGCUCGUGAAAUUUCUAGGCUAGCGAAAUUCUCUGCGACUAGGGAUUGGUUUGAGGAGCCCAUGGUUGAUAUUGUAUCUCUCCUUAUUGAUGAUGUAACUAUUAUUUCUAAUUAA